AACGUAGGAGACAAACGUUAUCCGGAGUUACUGGGCGUAAAGGGUGUGUAGGCGGUUCUUUAAGUUUGGUGUGAAAUCUCCCGGCUCAACCGGGAGGGUGCGCCGAAUACUGAGGGACUCGAGUGCGGGAGAGGAAAGUGGAAUUCCUGGUGUAGCGGUGAAAUGCGUAGAUAUCAGGAGGAACACCGGUGGUGUAGACGGCUUUCUGGACCGUAACUGACGCUGAGACACGAAAGCGUGGGUAGCAAACAGG
rnacentral:rRNA from 1 species